rnacentral:rRNA from 1 species
CAAAAACAUGUCUUUUUGAUUAUAAUUUAAAGUCUAACCUGCCCAAUGAGGAGUUAAAUGGCCGCGGUAUUUUGACCGUGCAAAGGUAGCAUAAUCAUUAGUUUUUUAAUUGAAAGCUGGUAUGAAUGGUUGGACGAGAAAAUAACUGUCUCGAUUUAAAUUAAAUUAGAAUUUUAUUUAUGAGUAAAAAAGCUCAUAUGAGUUUAAAAGACGAGAAGACCCUAUAGAAUUUAAUAUAUAUAUAUAUACAUUAUUUUUAGACAUUAAUAAUAAGUUAUAUAUAAUUAUAUUUUGUUGGGGUGAUAGAAAAAUUAAAUUAACUUUUUUUAUAUAAAAACAUUAAUGUAUGAAAAAGUGAUCCGUUAAUUACGAUUAUAAGAUUAAAUUACCUUAGGGAUAACAGCGUAAUUUUUUUUUAGAGUUCUUAUCGAAAAAAGAGUUUGCGACCUCGAUGUUGGAUUAAAAUUAACUUUUGGUGUAGGGGCU